rnacentral:rRNA from 1 species
GAUGAACGCUAGCGGCAGGCUUAACACAUGCAAGUCGAGGGGCAGCACGGGUAGCAAUACCUGGUGGCGACCGGCGCAAGGGUGCGUAACGCGUGAGCAACAUGCCCUAUACAGGGGGAUAAUCCAGGGAAACUUGGUCUAAUAUCCCAUAGUAUUUAGAGGAGGCAUCUUCUAUAAAUUAAAAGCUUCGGUGGUAUAGGAUUGGCUCGCGUGACAUUAGCUAGAUGGUGAGGUAACGGCUCACCAUGGCAAUGAUGUCUAGGGGUUCUGAGAGGAAGGCCCCCCACACUGGGACUGAGACACGGCCCAGACUCCUACGGGAGGCAGCAGUGAGGAAUAUUGGACAAUGGAUGGAAAUCUGAUCCAGCCAUGCCGCGUGCAGGAAGACAGCCCUAUGGGUUGUAAACUGCUUUUAUAUGGGAGCAAUAAGGUCUACGUGUAGACUGAUGAGAGUACCAUAUGAAUAAGC